UUAAACGGAAGUUACAUCAUUGUCUAAUCAUUGUCUAAUUAAAUACACAGAAAUUUUGGAAAAAACUAAGAUGUUCAUAACGAAACUAGGAAUUUUAAUGAUUGGUUAAUAAUGAAGGAGUCAUACUAUUAGUUAUAUCUUCAUCUAAAUAGAAAAGAAUGUAGAGUCCAGAAGAUACAAAGCUUGCACAUAUCUCUCCUUGUUAAAUGCUGUUACACUGCACAAUUAUGGACAUUACCUAAAUUCUAGAAUUAAGGGGAAAGCUGGGAAAACUGGGUCGAUUUCAAGUAUACCUGCUGCCGUAUACGCGUCGAAAUGUCUCACAAACACCAGCUUAAAAAUCCCCUUUACAGGAACUGGGUGCGCGGUGCUAUGGCGUUGAAAUAUUUGAAACAAGGGUUGGAAGUGCAUAUUGACCAAUCUAUACAAACGCAGCACUCGGCAUUCAUAGGCAGCCUACCCAGUUCUGGAGCAACGAAUAUACAAUGCGGACAAUGCACCAUAGAAAAGGUACUUCCUGAUCAUGCCGGAAGUAGAUGCAUACACAAAGUGAGAUCAAAGUGUCUUUGCUGUACCAAAGGGAGAACAAAAUGCCCGUCUUCUAUUUGCAGUGUGUUUAUUGAUCUGGUGAUAAAAGAACAUUGGUUGCAUGAUCCAAUAUGGUGUAACAUUGACUUGAAAACCUGGCCGAGCUAUUACUGGCAGGUAGCUAAAUGCUUUCUUAGUUCGCCAAGUAGAAGUAAUGCUUCUUCAGCCAAAGAUACAGAUGUUGCCGACCUUCUCAGCAUAGCGAUCAAUGACUCGUAUAUUAGAAACAACAUAAAAACAAUUGACAACUUUAUAAAGGCACGGAACGUUCGGAACAGUAUUGUCCAUACCGCAAACUACGAGUUACUGGAUACAGAACUUGCUGAUAAUAUCCAAACCUUCAUAGAUGUUCUACUUGAUGCGGUACUAAUUCAUGAUCAUGCUGCUCAGAAUGCUAUUAAAAAUCUUAAUCAGCUUAGAAAUGAUGCAAUAUUUAUCAGCACAGAGGAUGUAGAAGAAAUGCGAACAUACGCUCUAAGGGCUAUUGAUGAAAGAAAGGAGGAAGUUUUUAAAGAUAUACAGAACAAUGCAAAACACACUUUAGAGAACAUUACAGAAGAAAUUACCAAAUAUACAGACAGAAAACUUACUGACUUAAGUCAAAAAAUAGACUGUGAAAAGAAUGAAAUGUUACAAAACUUCCAAGAGAAGGUGAACGCAGAUAAAGGUGAUAUUGAACAACUUAAAACGGACAGUAUAGCUGUUAUCAAUGAGAGGAACGAACAGAUAAUCCUCAAAUGUGAAAAGGCUGAUGACAAACUAAAUACCGCUGCUAACGAAUUACAGGAAAUAAAGAAUGAAAAUGUUCAAGACUUUGCCGAUCAGACAAAUCGUAUAAAAGACAAGAUACUGCAAGAAAUAGACGAGCAUAUAGAGAAGCAGCUUACUGAACAUGAAGUUAGAGGCGUGGCGCAGGAGAAUGGGAGUGUUAUAGAACUACGCAAGGCUCCUGAGAAUGAGCAGACUGCACAGUCUUUAAUUUGCGCAGGAAUGUUUGAAACAACAGGCAAAUCUGGCAUAAAUGAGCAGGGUGUUGAGCUUGUUUUCCCUAUCUUUAAUGAAGCACAGUACAGCGGCUUUAAACAUGACUUUCAGAAUGACCUGGUAUCCCAUUACCGGAGACAUCAUGACAUUAGCACUGUAAGUUUAACACAGUUUUCAAGAAAGUAUGAUGCCCCACUUCUGCAGGUUUUUGUAUUACCAAAUAUGACGUUCAGGUAUUAUGACGGACUUCAGAAUAGAAAUUCAUCACCCGUUAAGUCGUAUGCAGACAUUUUAUUACACGCAUCAAUACCAGUGCAAAAUGUCUUUAUAUCUGGACCUACUGGUACCGGAAAAACAGUUUUAGCCAGACAUUUGUGUUUAUCUUGGUGUCAUGCACAUAGGCCGCAGAAACCUGACACUAAGUAUUUUAAGGUAGACGAUAUUACAGCUGUUAAGCACUUUGACUUUCUCUUUUUUGUGAACUUUAGCAAUGUUCCUGAAAAUCAGCAUGAUUUAUACGAGGUUAUUAAAAAUCAGAUCGUUGACAAACUUCCGAAUGCACAUAUCUAUUGUAGAAACUAUUUUCUGCAUAGCGUUCUUAGUAGGGAAAGAUGUCUCAUAAUAAUUGAUGAUUUAGACAAGAGAUUACAUCCCGAUCCUACUUCUACACAUUACGAAACAGAAACGAAGAGUUUGCCGCAUAUAAACAGGGAAAAUAUAACAACACUGUCAAUUACCAGCCAAUGGAAAUUAGGUUUUUGGGAUCUUAACUUUAAACAGAUGGAUAUGAAAGUGGAAAUGGUUGACUGUGAUCAGGCUUCUUUUGAAAACAUGUCCAGAAGUACAAUAGCUUAUCUAAAUGCUAUGGUCAAAGACAAGAAAAAUGCCGAAGGUUUCUUGAGGGUAGUACACGACUUAGAUAUUGAUAAUGACUCUGUAACAAGGAUUUGCCAUAUGUAUUUAUUAGGCCAUUGGUUCGAAGACAGAUUUCCGCGUACGUCAAGAAAUAUUUUAUAUGACUUCCUAACCAAAGUACUAUUUUCUAGAAAAGAGACAUCUUUUUCUAUGAAUGCUGUUGAUGCUGAAUAUUAUUCAGAAAUAAGUGAAAUGGUGUCUUCUAUUUGCGGUCUAAAUGAGGAUAAAUCUCUUGUUCGCUAUAAAGAACCUACGCAAUUGUACUCAUAUAGAAAAACACUUCUCAAGUUAGGAAAACUUUCAUUUGAAUGUUUGUCGUCAGCAAAGUCAGAUGAUGUGGCUAUCUAUCAUGUAAACAAGUUUCUGUCCAGCGAUGAAAUUCAGUACUGUCUAGAUAUAGGGGUUUUAAGUCUUAAUGAAACAAGAAGUCUGACUUCCAACACGAAGUCAAUUUCAUUUAAGGACCAUGAAGAAUUUCAGGCAUACUUUGCUGGAGUUUAUGUAUCAACAUUUAAAUCCAUAGCAACUUUGAAAGAAACUAUUCAACGUUCCUAUGUCAGAGUAAGGAAACGCACUGUUUCUGCAUUUCUUGUCUUCUUAGCUGGGUUAAAUCCAAACCUCUUCGCUGAGAUUUCAAAAUGCAUGUAUGACUCCUAUCACGGAACCUUGCAGGAAUAUAGAAACGGCUUUGACGUGGGUUCUGUUAUUGAACUUAGACUUAGACAUUUUCAAAACGUUAUGGUUAAGUGCGUUCGUGAAAUGUUGAGACACAGAGCAGGUAGUCCGUUGGUUUUACCACACUUGGAGGAUAUAUUUUUUGACGAAGCAUGUGAAAACACAGAUUACCGAUGUGCCCUGAAUCAGUUGAUAGCAUACAACAAGGACCAAAUAAAGUCUAUUACUAUAUACUUUGGCCAACUUUCACAAGAAGUACUCGCAUCCGUAGAAAUUUCGUCUAUUCAGUCUCCACAGAAACUUGCUGUUCUUAAAAAAUGUCAUGGAAAAAAUGCUCAGAAAGGUUCACAGCCAGUUGUAGAUAGAUGCUCAAAUGAGGCACUUUUAGAUGUAAUACAAUCUGUUGUCUUUGAUUCAGGAGAGAAUUUAAAAUGUGUCAGCUUUGAAGGCAUUUAUCUACCUCCACAAAAAUUCAAAAACAUAAUUGACAGUCAGCGGUUUCGCUUUAUGUCGAUGAAUCAAGUUCAAAUAUCAGAUGUGAACGUGGAAAGUCAAGCAGGAAGAAUCAGUAUAAAAGUUGGAGUACCCAAAUCAUACAUGUACCUUUGUGGAAAUAUGUCUUACACUGUGAACGACGAUUUAAUUAGAACAAUGGCAAAUUUGCAAACAGUGAAAAUUCAGAAUACCUGUUUUUCACCAAGCCAAUUAAAUGUGCUCGGAACAAUGGACAAGGUGACUAUUUUAAGCUUAUGGCAUAUUCAACUCGCACGUCCAGCAAAACAGGAUACCACGCAUAUUUUCCCAAAUACAUUUGACAUUUCUUUUGAUCGACAACGAAUAAGCAUAGCUGUACGUGGAAAAGUACCGAACGUAUUCCUCAAUGCAUUUUUAACCAACAAUUCCCGCGAUGUUAAAAACAUCAAAGUAGUUUUCGUAUAUCUGACAUUUCAGAGCCUAUAUAGUCUUUGCAGUAUUAAAAGACCAAACUCAAUGGUACUUAAAGGUAUCACUUUGAUUUCGGAAGAGGAGGAGCCAGAAACGUCUCGGUACAUGGACAUGCGGAAGACUUUUAAAUGUGAAUUAUCAUCGUUUGAUGAAAAGCUUUCACUUUGUGGCUCUGCCCCGGAAAAUGUCCACAGAUAUUUAUUGACAACUUAUUCAGAAUCUGUGAAGAAGAUAGAGCUCAGAGAUGUCGUUUUAUCGGAGUCUGACUUGGAUGUACUUGCUGGAAUAAAAGACAUACAUUUGUUCACAUUCGUUAACAUAAUGCGCAGACCAGUUGAUAAAUACCAGCAAAUUACGAUUCUGAAUACAUUCGAUAUGGUAUAUACAAAAGAAGAACAGAAAGUAUAUGUAUGCGGUGACAUAAGCGAAACAUUUUUUGAUCGUUUUAUUGACGCUAAUGCCGAAGUUUUAAAAAACGUAGAUCUACGAUACGUUGGUCAAACAACAGCUUGUCUUAAUUCUUUCACGAAGUUGAAUGAGCUUCGAGAAUUGUCCUUAUACUUUUGCAGAUCCGAUUUCGAAGACACAAGUACAGUAGUUUCUCUACUAAAUAAAGCUUCCGAUUCUCUACAAUUAGUUCGACUCGGUUGCCUUUCGUUGCUAACAAAACAAUUAGCGGUGAACAAUAUGCAGCAAACAGAAAGCAUGUCUAUUCGAGAAAUUAUCCAUUCUUCUAAGACUAAAGCUUCAAAACGAGACCAAGACUUUGCGAGUGCGGAUGACAAUUAUUGUAUUCAGUUGGACUACACAAAUACAAGUUUAUACAUUGAAGGUAACACGCCUGAUGCAUAUAUCAGUAACUUUCUACAAAAGCUACAAGAACACACGUCUUGCACUGCUGUGCACUUGAAGAGGAUGUCGUUAUCUCAGUCUAAUUUGCUGAAACUGGAUAAAGUAGAUCAUCUGAAAACUUUACGUUUGGUUGAUGUUACAUGUCAAGGAGAAAACGAAAAUGACGUUGAUGUCUUAUCCAUAGAUGGCGAAAACAGUGAAAUUGGAGACGAACUGUUUGAAACAGAUUCCUUUUUCGAUGAAACAGAAGAUGACGAAGAGUUCUCAAAUCGAGAAGAUAUAGCAAAUUUGGACGAAGCAGUAGACCUAGACAACGUACCAACUGAUUCUGGUGACAACCUAUCAGUGAUUCCAGACACUGAAAUCGAUAGAAAUGAAGCAGAUAAUAUGGAAGUCGACACAGACGACCAGGAACAUUUUGAUUACAGAAAUGGCAACGAUGCAGAACUUUUUUCUCAAGAUAGGAAUGAACAGAAUCCAUUGAAUAUUCAAUUUGAUCACUUUGAAGAGAGACUUUUUGCAUCUGGAGAGAUUACUGAUCCUGUGCUUUUUAAACUACUGCUGAGUUUCUGUAAAUUGUCAAAGGAAGUGAAACUAGUCAAUGUUAAACUUCGUCACCUACGUGCAAAAGAAAUUUUCUCCUGUAUUGACAAGAACACCGAUAUAGAGUUGAUUGAAAUAGAAGGCGUAAAAUGUUAUGAUCAUGAAAAUUGUAACCGUUUAGCGAUGGACUUAUCAAAACUUGUUCAUUUGCGGUCACUCGCACUAAAAUCUACACAUCUAACAGACGUAAAAGUUAAUGGCGAACACCUGCAUACCUGCAAAGUGGACUCAUUAGUAGUUCCAGGAAUUGUGACAUCACUUCUUGAAAAUCUUCAUCCUAAAGUUAUUGAUACUUUAGAGUUGAUCAGUAUAAGAGGCGGUACAGAUAUAGAUACAAUGACAAAAGUAAUACCAACUCUUAAAGGACUAAAAAGCCUAGAGAUAUGUUGGGUGAAUAUUUAUGAUAAGAAUUUCAAUCUGUUUCCACAUCUGAAGCAACUUGAUCGGUUGAUUUUAAGGAAUGUUACGAUGACAUUUGAGGCAUUCCUACGUAUAAUCACGAAUGCGGGCAAAGUAAAGAAAGACGUACGUGUUCGUUUUUACAAUUGUAAACUGGCCGAAGAGAGUGACACUCAAGUUUGUCGUUUAAAGGAAUUUAUUACACAAACGAACGGAUGCAAGACAGAAGAGGAAUGGACAUAUGAAAAUGGUCACUUCAGUGGAAUAUAUGUCAUCUAAGUACUGCCAGGUAUAAGCCCUUGGUAGAAGCAUCGACCGUAUUAUCUGAGAGUAAUUGUUCAGACAAUGAUUGAUGAACAUAAUGUAAAAAUUGACCAAGUUGCCGAACAAUUAGAUAGCUGUUAACUUGCAUUAUAUUGAGCUGAAGUUCCGCAUCAAGAUUAGUACACCUUCAGUUUUACGCAAAUCGUAGCAGACCAGCUACAGCUAUUGUCUUGUGUAAAAUAUUUCUGUAUUUGGUUUACUGAGAUAGAAUUAUUUUAGUAAUUGUAUUAUUACAGUGUAUUAUUAUGUCCUUAUUUAUGUUUUAUUGUUUAAUUAUUUACUUACAUAAGUCCACAACAAACAACAUUUUCAGCCAGGAACAAGACAUUCUGAAUCGGACUUAAAGCCUUAUUUGUCAACAGAACUUUGGGGUUUUUUUUCAUCAGAUGUUAAAGACCUAUUUUACCCAUUUAUAACAGUCUGGUCUGAAAUGACAUUUUUUUAACGACUUAACCGGAUCUAUAGAUUUACCUCUCAAAGACUAAAGCACUUAUAAACAGAAAUAUAAUACUGUAACAGUGUUUCUCUGUAGUGUUGGCCAAUUUUUCAAAGCAACCAUACAUUAUCAUAUACAUUUGUGGACUUUCCCAACUAGCGCCUAAGUAUUAAUUAAGCAACACUGAUGACACACAAAAUUUUGAAAACAGUUAAAUAGUUCAGCUACAUUAAGAACAAAAUUGAUUUAUCAUAUUAGAUAAUGGUACAUUUUGUAAAAGAAACAAUCCGUUACAAGGCACAUGCACUAAAAAUUACAGAGUAUUACAAUUGUAUGCUUUAUUAAAUGUGACGUUUAGUACUCAAUUUGCCCUCAUUACAUCUAAUAACAUAAAUCAAUUUUUGUCCGAUAGAAUUUAUGCUUUUCCUGACGGUAAGUGGUUAUUUUCAAUUCUACGGGCUUGGUCUUAUUGUUUUGGUGGAUAUAUGGCAGCACGCAUUUAUUAAAAAAAGGUUUUAGAUUACUUUUCUCGAAUAACGGACAGAUGUUUAAAUUAAUGUUUAUUAGUUAGAUAACAGACCAUUCUGUCUGAGUUUCCGACUAGAACCAUCUUAAAAACUCGCGCUUGCUUUUGACACGAUAUUAUGUUAAUUCAAAACCACGUGGUGUAAGAUAAAGGUACAUAUUUAUUAUUUAUGUUUAUUUGUACCGCCAACAAGGUGGGAUUUUUUUCAAGUAAAUUUAUGAUGGUUGUAACGAAAUGUCCAUGUAUUUUAAUAGGGGGAUAUUAUUCAGAAAAAAAUGGAAGUAAAAAAGUGUCUGGUUGGAAAGGUCUACAAGUACACUUUAUCCCAUAUUUCAGUGUUUAUACAUUUUAUUAGUCACACAAACUUCGAAGUGUGCAUAAAUGAGUGCUUUUGUUACCACCUGUACAAAGAGAUUCAGCAUAAACCUCAGUUGCUCAAAAGAAAACCCCUAUUUUCGUACUUUUCUACAGAAUGUUAAUUGUUGAUUUUAUACUAUCAUUUUUGUCAUUUCUAUGUAUGUUACGUGCAAUAAUGGCUGCUAUAUGCUGUUACCAGUCCUCGAGUUGUUUUGUUUGCUUUUUCUCAUUUCUAGAUUGAGACAAUUUGCAGGUGAUAGAGAUUUUUGAUUUUCAAUCUCGAGACCUGAACGGAAAUCUGUCAUAGCUCGUUUGUUUAAUAUGAUUUACGGCAGUUCUUCGUUCAACCCUUUAUCUGAUACUUUUAUCAAAUAUCUCACGUUUAAUAUCUUUAUGAUGUUUUAUAAAUAUCCGUCUCUUUCUUGAUAAUUUUAAGAAAUGAAAAUGUCACAAUUUUCCAUUUAUUUAUUUUAUCUUUACAGUUGGUUGUUACUUUUCAAAUCAUUGAUAUCUGACAUGUUAAAAAUCUCUCGGUUCAAAUUAGCAUGCUUUACCAGGCCUGGAGUACUAAUGUAUGGUUUUCUUAAGAGCAAAACUUUCACAUGGUGUAUAUUUGUCAUCUUAGCUUACAAUAACGUUUUGGCAAAGUUGUCUCGGAUUUUUUCACAGAUAAUUGUUUCAUUUUAAAUAUAUGGUUCUGUACAUUUUUGUAAAAUGAGUAUAGCUUUUUAGAUAGAAUGGUCGAUAUUGACAGAAUUUAAUGAUAAUUGGACACAACAUGUAAUGAUUAUUUCAUUUCAAUAUCUAACCUUACGACAAUAUCAGUCUGUCGUAGAAUCAUUGUAUUGUGUAUUUUGGUUUAGUUUAAUCAUAUUUUAUUGUAAUUAUCACACAAGACAUUAUUGUAAAUGUACAUCAAGACAAUUUUAUACAGAUACAUAUGUAUAUAUAUAUAUAUAUAUAUAUAUAUAUAUAUAUAUAUAUAUAUAUAUAUAUAUAUAACAACAAACUAUCAUUACAUGAAGACAUAUAUAAUACUACUGUACAUUAAGAUACAUUCGGUAACUUUGCAAAGGUGCGAUAAUACAAAAGGGUUGGACCACAAGUUUUACCAACAUUAGAAAUCGGUCCGUCCCUAUAUUGUGUAUUUUAGAAGAGGUAUAUCGGCUAGUUUUUUUGAGAGUUUCGUCAUUAGUUCUAAAAGUAGAAUAAUAGUGUUUUACUACUACGAGUAUUUACUGAUUGAAUAUUGAUGGUUUUAUGUUUACUGCAUUGUUAUCCCUCGCCGAAGGCGGAGGGAUAUAUUUUUGGCGUCGUCCGUCCGUCCGGAGCCGUAUCUAGGAAGUAGUUUGGAACAUUUUAAUAAAACUUCAUAUAUGUUCACGACUAUAAGGAAAUGUGGCCCAUCAAGUUUUUUUCUGCCCCCGAAGGGAGGCAUAUUAGUUUUCAACUGUCCAUCCGUUCGUUCGUUCGUCACAACGUUAACUUUUUGCAUGAAGGUACUUUACUUGCGAACAACUGCACCCAGGACCUUCAGACUUCACAUGCUGAUAGUACUUAUUGAGUACAUGACUCCUACUGACUUUGGGGUCACCAGGUCAAGGUCACAGGGGCCAAUGUUAACUCAUUCGUUAGUUCGUUCGUCACAACGUUAACUUUUUACAUGAAGGCACUUUACUCGCGAACCACUGCACCCAGGACCUUCAAACUUCACAUGCUAAUAGUACUUAUUAGGUACAUGACCCCUACGGAUUUUGGGGUCACCAGGUCAAAGGUCAGGGCCACAGGGGCCAAUGUUAACUUUUUGCAUGAAGACACUUUACUCGCGAACCAUUGCACCCAGGACCUUCAAUCUUCACGUGUGAUAGUACUUAUUAAGUACACAACUCCUGCUGACUUUGGGGACACAAUGUCAAAGGUCAAGGUCACAGGGGUCAAUGUUAACUUUUUGCAUGAAGGCACUUUACUCGCGAACCACUGCACCCAGGACCUGCAAACUUCACAUGCUGAUAGUACUUAUCGAGUACAUGACUCCUACUGACUUUGGGGUCAUCAGGUUAAAGGUCAAGGUCACAGGGGCCAAUGUUACCUUUUUGCAUGAAGGCACUUUAUUCGCGAACCACUGCACCCAGGACCUUCAAACUUCACAUGCUGAUAGUACUUAUUGAGUACGACCCCGACUGACUUUGGGGUCACAAGGUCAAAGGUCAAGGUCACAGGGGCCAAUGUUAACUUUUUUGCAGGUCAAAGGUCAAGGUCACCAGGUCAAAGGUCAAGGCGCUGCGGGAGCAUUUGUCACCAUUAGUGACAGCUCUUGUUCAUUUUUUAUUUUCCAUCAAUAUUUAUUAUCAACAUGCGAAGUUUUGUAACCUCAACCGGUAACCGCCGUAACACCGCCCCCCACCCCCACCACCCACCAAAAAAAAAUAUCAUUCCUUUUUUUAGCUCACCUGAGCAAUGCUCAGGUGAGUUUUUCUGAUCGCUCGAUGUCCGGCGUCCGUCGUCCGUCGUCUGUCGUCUGGCGUCUGUCGUCUGUCGUCUGUCGUCCGUCGUCUGUCAACAUUUAGCUUGUGUAUGCGAUAGAGGCUGUAUUUUUCAAUUAAUCUUCAUGAAUAUUGGUCAGAAUGAUAACCUUGAUGAAAUCUAGGCCGAGUUCGAAAAUGGGUCAUCUGGGGUCAAAAACUAGGUCACUAGGUCAAAUCAAAGAAAAACCUUGUGAAUGCGAUAGAGACUGUAUUUUUCAUUUCUUCUUCAUGAAUAUUGGUCAGAAUGAUAACUUUGAUGAAAUCUAGGCCGAGUUCGAAAAUGGGUCAUCUCGGGUCAAAAACUAGGUCACUAGGUCAAAUCAAAGAAAAACAUUGUGUAUGCGAUAGAGGUGGUAUUUUUCAAUUAAUCUUCAUGAAUAUUGGUCAGAAUGAUAACCUUGAUAAAAUCUAAGCCGAGUUCGAAAAUGGGUCAUCUCGGGUCAAAAACUAGGUCACUAGGUCAAAUCAAAGAAAAACCUUGUGUAUGCAAUAGAGGCUGUAUUUUUCAAUUCUUCUUCAUGAAUAUUGGUCAGAAUGAUAACUUUGAUGAAAUCUAGGCCGAGUUCGAAAAUGGGUCAUCUCGGGUCAAAAACUAGGUCACUAGGUCAAAUCAAAGAAAAACCUUGUGUAUGCGAUAGAGGCUGUAUUUUUCAAUUGAUCUUCAUGAAUUUUGGUCAGAAUGAUUGCCUUGAUGAAAUCUAGGCCGAGUUCGAAAAUGGGUCAUCUCGGGUCAAAAACUAGGUCACUAGGUCAAAUCAAAGAAAAACCUUGUGUAUGCGAUAGAGGCAGUAUUUUUCAAUUGAUCUUCAUGAAUUUUGGUCAGAAUGAUAACCUUGAUGAAAUCUAGGCCGAGUUCGAAAAUGGGUCAUCUGGGGUCAAAAACUAGGUCACUAGGUCAUAUCACGUAAAAACCUUGUGUAUGCGAUAGAGGCUGUAUUUUUCAAUUGAUCUUCAUGAAUUUUGGUCAGAGUGAUUGCCUUGAUGAAAUUUAGACCAAGUUCGAAAAUGGGUCAUCUGGGGUCAAAAACUAGAUCACUAGGUCAAAUCAAAGAAAAACCUUGUGUAUGCAAUAGAGGCUGUAUUUUUCAACUGAUCUUCAUGAAAUUUAGCCAGAAUGAUUACCUUGAUAAAAUCUAGGCUGAUUUCGAAAAUGGGUCAUCUGGGGUCAAAAACUAGGUCACUAGGUCAAAUCGAAGAAAAACAUUGUGUAUGCAAUAGAGGAUGUAUUUUUCAAUUGAUCUUCAUGAAAUUUGGUCAGAGUGAUUGCCUUGAUGAAAACUAGGUCGGUUUUGAAUAUGGGUUAUCUGAGGUCAAAAACUAGGUCACUUGGUCAAAUCAAAGAAAAAACUUCUGUAUGUGAUAGAGGCUGUAUUUUUCAUUGAUCUUCAUGAAUUUUGGUCAGAAUGAUUGCCUUGAUAAAAUCUAGGUCGAGUUUGAACAUGGGUCAUCUAGGGUCAAAAACUAGGUCAUAUCUAAGAAAAUGCUUGUUUUAUCGCAAGAGACCAAUUUUUUUGGUCCAAUCUUAAUGAAAAUUGGUCAGAAUAUUUGUUUCCAUGAAAUCACUAGGUCAAACAUGUUUUACACUGUUAUGGAGUGUUUCUUAGGUGAGCGACCUAGGGCCAUCUUGGCCCUCUUGUUUAAUUUUUCAAAAACUUUCAUGAAUAUUUAUCAACCCCCGUAACCACCCAGGUUCCAGAUAUCUUACGUGAUUGUGCUGUCUUAAGGACUUCUGUUCUUUUAAGUUCAAAUGUAAUAAAAUUAUUUGCUUCUUAGCAACAUCCUUAACUUUUUGCUGGAUAAAUUUCUUUGCCAUUCCCCAACACAAAGCCAUUCAGCGGGGAAUACCAGUUCAUCGUAUUUGCUUGUGAUAUAUUGUUGUGUUGGUUUAGACUUAGCUACUUCUUGUUUAUUACCACAUGGUUGUGCUGAUUUUUAGCUCACCUGUCACAUAGUGACAAGGUGAGCUUUUCUGAUCACGCAGCGUCCGUCGUCCGUGCGUGCGUGCGUCCGUGCGUCCGUAAACUUUGCUUGUGACCACUCUAGAGGUCACAGUUUUCGUGGGAUCUUUAUGAAAGUUGGUAAGAAUGUUCAUCUGGAUGAUAUCUAGGUCAAGAUCGAAAUUGAGUCACGUGCCCUCAAAAACUAGGUCAGUAGGUCUAAAAAUAGAAAAACCUUGUGACCUCUCUAGAGGCCAUAUAUUUCAUGAGAUCUUCAUGAAAAUUGGUCAGAAUGUUCACCUUGAUGAUAUCUAGGUCAAGUUUGAAACUGGAUUACGUACCUUCAAAAACUAGGUCAGUAGGUUUAAAAAUAGAAAAACCUUUUGACCUCUCUAGAGGCCAUAUAUUUCAGAAGAUCUUCAUGAAAAUUGGUCAGAACGUUCUCCUUGAUGAUAUCUAGGUCAAGUUUGAAACUGGGUCACGUGCCAUUAAAAACUAGGUCAGUAGGUCAAAUAAUAGAAAAACCUUGUGACCUCUCUAAAGAACAUAUUUUUAAUGGGAUCUGUAUGAAAGUUGGUGUGAAUGUUUACCUUGAUGAUAUCUACGUCAAAUUCGAAACUGGGUCACAUGCGGUCAAAAACUAGGUCAGUAGGUCUAAAAAUAGAAAAACCUUGUGACCUCUCUAGAGGCCUUAUAUUUCAUCAGAUCUUCAUGAAAAUUGGUCAGAAUGUUCAUCUUGAUGAUAUCUAGGUCAAGUUCGAAAGUGGGUCACGUGCCAUCAAAAACUAGGUCAGUAGGUCAAAUAAUAGAAAAACCUUGUGACCUCUCUAGAGGCCAUAUUUUUCAUGGGAUCUGUAUGAAAGUUGGUCUGAAUGUUCAUCUUGAUGAUAUCUAGGUCAAGUUUGAAAGUGGGUCACGUGCCUCAAAAUCUAGGUCAGUAGGUCAAAUAAUAGAAAAACCUUGUGGCCUCUCUAAAGGCCAUAUUUUUCAUGGGAUCUGUAUGAAAGUUGGUCUGAAUGUUCAUCUUGAUAAUAUCUAGGUCAAGUUCGAAACAGGGUCAUGUGCGGUCAAAAACUAGGUCAGUAGAUCUAAAAAUAGAAAAACCUUGUGACCUCUCUAGAGGCAAUACUGUUCAAUGGAUCUCCAUAAAUAUUGGUUAGAAUGUUCAACUUGAUGAUAUCUAGGUCAAGUUCGAAAGUGGGUCACGUGCCAUCAAAAAGUAGGUCAGUAGGUCAAAUAAUGUAAAAACGUUGUGACCUCUCUAGAGGCCAUAUUUUUCAUGGGAUCUGUAUGAAAGUUGGUCUGAAUGUUUAUCUUGAUGAUAUAUAGGUCAAGUUUGAAACUGGGUUAACUGCGAUCAAAAACUAGGUCAGUAGGUCUUGAAAUAGAAAAACCUUGUGACCUCUCUAGAGGCCAUAUCCUUGAAUGGAUCUUCAUGAAAAUUGGUCAGAAUGUUCAUCUUAAUGAUAUCUAGAUCAAAAUUGAAAAUGGGUCACGUGCCUUAAAAAACUAGGUCAGUAGGUCAAAUAAUAAAAAAACCUUGUGACCUCUCUAGAGGCCAUACUUUUCACGGGAUCUGUAUGAAAGUUGGUCUGAAUGUUCAUUUUGAUGAUAUCUAGGUCAAGUUUGAAACUGGAUCAACUGCGGUCUAAAACUAGGUCAGUAGGUCUAAAAUUAGAAAAAUCUUUUGACCUCUCUAGAGGCCAUAUUUUUCCAUGGAUCUUCAUGAAAAUUGAUCUGAAUGUUCAUCUUGAUGAUAUCUAGGUCAGUUUCGAAACUGGGUCACGUGCGGUCAAAAACUAGGCCAGUAGGUAUAAAAAUAGAAAAACCUUGUGACCUCUCUAGAGGCCAUAUUUUUCAUGAGAUCUUCAUGAAAAUUAGUGAGAAUGUUCAUCUUGAUGAUAUCUAGGUAAAGUUCAAAACAGGGUCACGUAUCUUCGAAAUCUAGGUCAAUAGGUCAAAUAAUAGAAAAACCUUGUGACCUCUCUAGAGACCAUAUUUUUCAAUGGAUCUUCAUGAAAAUUGGUCAGAAUUUUUAUCUUGAUAAUAUCUAGGCCAAGUUCAAAACUGGGUCACAUGAGCUCAAAAACUAGGUCACUAUGUCAAAUAAUAGAAAAAACGAUGUCAUACUCAAAACUGGGUCAUGUGGGAAGAGGUGAGCGAUUCAGGACCAUUAUGGUCCUCUUGUUUGUUUAUAUAUUUGUAGCAAUAUUCAUUGACAAUAUAUGAUAUUUGCAGUUUGUAACCUUUCUUGUAGCUAUUUUGUAUUAUUCCAUAUUGGUUGGUCAUUGAUUGCAACAUAUAACGUUGUAACGGUAUGAUGUUAUGAAAUGUUUUUUGUCAUAUUUUGUAUUUUUCAUCAACAAGUAAGAUAAAAUAGUGCUUCCGUACUUGUACAGUACGACGAAUAUCGUUAGCGUUUAUGGCACAGAUAUGAUGAAGUCAUCUCUUAAGGUACUUCCCCCAUCUUGAAUUUAGAGUGACCUUCAUUUGAGGUGUGAAAAUAUACUGAACAAAAGCUUUCAAAUUCAGCUGUUCCAGAGUACAAAAACAGCUCAGUUUGCAAGACCUGAACUAAAAGUAGCUGUAUAAAAAAUAAAAACUAAAAUUUGGAAAUAAACAAAGAAGAUAUUUUACCUGUACUUUUCCAAAUUUUUGGUUAGAUUUAUAAAUCCUUUCAAAAUACUUUAUUAAAAAUUCAUGAAUGGCAAAAGUUAGUUCAAAGUUUCAAUUAGUGCAUAGGAGAAUUGUCUUACUGAAUAGAACUAAACUUAGUACAAAAUCUGUUUUCAAAUCUGACCACCUCAUGUAUUAAAACGAAAAUAAAUCUGUACAUAUUGCUAUUUUCAGCAUACAUAAAAGUAGUGCAAUGUGCGGACAAUGGUUUUUUUACGUAUGGUGUACUAAACUGCCUAAAAUUGUAAGACAAGUCUCAGACUUAAUGUAAACAAGAUUUGGCAACGAACCAAAAUUUUUUUCAAGGAUUGUGCAAGUAUAAGAAAGGUUUAAUUUAUUAUAGUGGAAUUUAUGUACUUACGCGCUGCUUAUCUCACGGAAAAUUUGGUUGAAAUGGAAUUUUCGGCACUUCCUGCGGUAACUACCGAAAUUACUUAACGUAACUUUCUCACACAUACGUGUUUGUAUAUCUAUAAAUUAUGAAAAUAAUCGAAAUAUUUGCUUUAUCACGAUAAAUCGACUAGACAAUCUUGAAACAUUUGGCCACAGUAUUUCCGCAUACUGGUAAGUUCGAUGCGUAUAGUGAUUCCUUAUUAGAUGUUUCAUGCGUCGUAAACUAACCAAUUUUGAUCGAUCGACUUUUUAUACAAUAUGAGAAUUUAUGCAGCAUGUUUUUAAAAAACACAGUAAGAAUAAAUCGCAGAAAAAAUGUACAGCCAAAUAUGUUAGGAGGUAAUACAAUUUGUAUACAAUUGUAAUAACUACGAAACAUUUUACAAAAUGCAAUCAGUUGAACUUCUCACGCGAAAACCUGAUGAUUAAACUCAGCAAUAUCUCAAAAAAUAACUUUUCUGUAUCUUGGUUCUUCGUUAAACAAUGAUAUUUUUCACACUUUCACAGAUUUAAACUGAUAUUAAAUGUGUAUUGAAAUUCCGGCAUAGAAUUGGACACUGACUUUACAUUAGUGAUUACUGCGGUGUUGACAGCGGAAGCAGGGAUCCAGUACUAAGACUGUCUACGAAACCAAGGAUAACGAGACGGAGUUCUUUAUCUGAAAAUUACGAACAUUGGGAUCAGUGUUCAGUAUACACCUGAAAAUAAUAGACUUGCUAUUUGCCGAUUGCACACUUGUUUUCUAUCGUCGUUAAUAUAAAGUAGACUAGUAAAUAUUCGUACAUAUGCAUAAUCUCUUAAAUACAUUUUUUAAUGUAUGUUCUCUGAAAUUAACAAAUAACUGGCUCAACUGAGACACCAUACUUUAAAGUAAAUUCAGUUAAUUCACCACGAGGUGCAAAAUGCACGGGAGUCUCGUGAUAGUGCAUGCCUUUAAUUUCACAUGGUUGAAGUGUAAACAAAUAGUUAAAUUUGCUUCGUUUUUAUUUCUCAGAGAAAAGAUCGGACGGUUUUUUAUAUUGGAAUAAUUAUAGAACAUAUAUGCAUUUAAAGUUGAAAGUUGAUUGUUUCCUACAGGACGUAAAACAGAAACAAGUAAGCACUUUUACUUUUCAGCAAUGUUCAUCAGGUGAACUUUGACAUUGUUUACGAAGAGAAAUCAGUUUUGUGUCAUCUUGAAAUGCGUUGUUCGGCUGAAACGUAUAGUUCCCGGAAAAGUUCUAAAAUAGUUUAUUUUGGGGAUUUUUGUUUUAUUUAUAAAUUCAACACAAUGUGCAAUAUUUCCAGUUUUUGAAAAUGAUUGAAAUUCAACUUUAUUUUAGAAAAAGUUCCGAUCUUUCAUUAAUUGUUUGCCAGCGGAUGCUUACAAAUUUUAAGUGAAACGGCUUUCUUGUCCAUGAGAGGUGUGUAAAGCGAAAAACUAUCAUUACACAUUGCGUUUAUUCUUUAAAUGUGAAGGAUCGGUAACAGAUUAAGGAGAUCGGACAGUGAAAAACUAUACUAAAUGGAUAUCUCUAACCAUGAAUAAGGAGACAUACAUAUUUCAGAAAGGAAAUAUGAGGUAAAAGAACAAUCAUAUGUUUUAUUCCUUGAAAUAAACAUGGCGGCGAAAUAUUUUAGAAAAACUGUGCACGUGUUCUGCGCAUUAGAAUGUUUAACGACAUUUUCUUGAAAAAGUAACGCUCGUGUGCACUAUUUUGGCAUUUCUUUGAUUUGAAAAUAAAUAUUUUAUAGCAAUUUAGGUUGCAUACGAUACCAAAAUUUUGCACCAAAAAUAUUCACUCAUUUUCUUCCAAAGCACUGUGGAGAUAGGGUUCAGCGUAGCUUUCAUGCUCGCAAGUUUACCUAUAUAUCUUUUCAACUUUUAUCAUAUAUAUUUUAUGUCCUUGCAUUUCGAAAGUUGUUUCGAUGAUUCUGAUUUUUCACGUAAAGUUCUAAUUUCAAUUUGCGGAAGUACCUUAAAUAUCUAAUGCGCUGUUUUAUGUAUUUCAUAAAAUGUCAUAUGCAACUAUUUGAAAAAAGUGUACACUGAUUGAUAACUGGGGUGAUAACUGGGUAAAACGGGCCCGGAUCGGCAUGGCCUCUCCGGAAAUGUUAAUUUAACAUACAAGAAUCCAGUUAUUCCCUUUGUUCUAGCAUAAAACUGUUGUUUUUUGUCGUUUUCAGGGGGUGUUCUAAAAGGACAGGUUUUCGCGCUCACGCGCUGUUAACACACAUACAUGCGCGUUCCGUAGCUAAGCCUAGAAACGCAUAACGGCCAGAUAAUGGAUAAUUUAAAAUGAAAAAAAAAACAUCCACGUGAUCAAACAACGCUGACAUUCCGUGCAUUCCAUGAAUAUAUAAAGACAUUGAUGGACAAUAUAUUCACUUUUUCAGCUAUUUACACUUUUUAUUCUAGAAUAGCAUAUAACACAAAAAAUAGGCGUUAUCCUUAUAAUGGUAUUUAUUAUUCGAUGAGAUGUCACGUUUGAAAAAUAUCGAAAUACUGGUGACAUUUGUAGCAGGUGCUCGUUGGAUUUACCGAACGUAUGGUCAAUAUGUUAUUACCUUAAACGCUUUGAAAACGCACAGGUUCUGCCAAAAUUUAUUGGAAAUAUUUUAAAACAACAUUAAAAUAGAUAAUUUAUGCUUGUACAAAAUUAGAUGAAUUCUCGAUCUGUGAUGAAUUCUAUAAAAAUGAUGAUAACCAUUUCUUUUACAACUGCCAGACUUCAAUAACACUAUGGCAGCAUUUUUCAAAAUCAAAGCACACGCGAGAUCGUUUAAAGCGUCGAAGUACUUCAUUUAAAAGGGUUGACUUUGUAUACGUUUCCUCAUGUAAUUUUAGCAACUUUCUCAAAAGUGAUAACAAAAAGGAUAAAGGAGAGCUCUUUGAUUAACAGAUGGAUUUAAGAUUAUCAGUAAUAAGCACGAAUAUAGGCUGCAUAAAGCCUGAACUAGUUAAGGAGACGUCACGACUGAGAUAGUUUAGCAUUAUUACAAUACACAGUCGGUAUUGAAAUUGUGUUUCCAAUACAUGUGCUAAUUAGAUAAAUCCUCAAUAUCUGUGUGAAAAUAAGGGAUGUGUUUUGUAUGAUUGCAACACUGUGAGUUGCUCUAAUUACUGACAAAUGACUGAAACAAUAGGAAUUCGUACGAGAGAUGGAUAGACAAAACAACAGUGAGGUAACAAUAUAUUCUUUUAUUGUUUAAAUGUAUGAGUUGUAAGCUACAAUAAAGAAUACCCAUUUUAUGAAAAUCAAACUGGAAGUUAGAAAUAACAGAAAAAAAUUAAUUAGGUCAUGAGUCAUCAUAUACCUGUCAAAAUUUGUCAUUAGUUUUCGCGAGCUGUCAAACUUAUUUUUAUCUCUCUAUUCUGCAAAUGCAUUGUUUUUGAAAGUAUCUUGGACGGAUAUUGUAAUGUGCAACUUACUUUAUAUUCCACAUUAAUAUUUGUGCUUGAAAUUGCUUUGUUGAGCUCACCGACGUCACAUAUGAAUGUCUAUUGUUUUAGUUUAUUGUCUGUUAUAAAGGUAUCAAAUCUCAAUAUUAAGAUAUAAGAAUUGUUCCUUUCUGGUAGACAAAGGAAACUAUUUGGUUGAAUCAUGAUAUAACGGUUUUUGGAAAGAACUGAAUAUUCUUUGGUUUUUUGUUAUUCACCGGAAAUUCAAAAAGUGACAUCACCUUAAUAAGCAUUAGAACUAAAAAGAAAAGCUAUUCUGAACAUUGCAUUCUACUGACAUACUUCGCGUAUCAGGUGAAAACCAGUAUUUUGUCGUCCUGUGAUUUCAUUUUCGCCCAGGGACUGUCUCCCGACGAGUACGUUUCUUCUUUAUGAAAUUUUAUACAAGUUAGCGUGACUUAUUCUGCUAGGUACUCGGAUGAUUUUUUUUAUUAAAGCCUGUGCUUCUAUCUCUGAUUGAUCCGAGUUAAGUUAGGUAUGCGUUCUAGAGAUGGAUCUGACCAACAUAUACAACUAUUGUAGAAUCAUCUAAUAAUUUUUCUUGUGUUUUAUAUAUAUACUGAGUGUAUAUUUUCUGUUGCAAGCUUCGCAUUGUUUUGCAUUGAUGCUGCGCAUUUGACUUUUUUAUUCUAAGUGUUGAAUGAGCCAUGGUAUUAUAUUCUAUUUAGACACUAGGGCGUGUUUAAAACAUUUGGGACUGGCGGCCUCGGCGUGAAGUUUAAACACAACCAGUGUAUAUCAUUCCCAAAUGAUAAAUUUGUACUCAAUAUUUUAUGGAAUCUUAUAGCCUUUUGCUUUCUCUUUUUAGCUCACCUGAGCAAUGUUCAGGUGAGUUUUUCUGAACGGUCGAUGUCCGGCGUCUGUCGUCUGUCUGUCUGUCAACAUUUAGAUUGUGUAUGUGAUAGAGGCUGUAUUUUUCAACUGAUCUUCGUGAAAUUUGGUCAGGAUGAUAGCCUUGAUGAAAUCUAGGUCGAGUUCGAAAAUGGGUCAUCUUGGAUUAAAAACUGGGUCACUAGGUCAAAUGAAAGAAAAACCUUUUGUAUGCGAUAGAGGUUGUAUUUUUCAACUAAUCUUCAUGAAUUUUGGUCAGAAUGAUUACCUUGAUAAAAUCUAGGUCGUAUUUGAAAAUGGAUCAUCUGGGGUUAAAAACUAGGUCACUAGGUCAAAUCAAAGAAAAACAUUGUGUAUGCGAUAGAGGCUUAUUUUUCAACUGAUCUUCAUGAAAUUUUGUCAGAAUGAUUACCUUGACAAAAUCUAGGCUGAUUUCGAAAAUGGGUCAUCUUGGGUCAAAAACUAGGUCACUAUGUCAAAUCAAAGAAAAACAUUGUGUAUGCGAUAGAGGUUGUAUUUUUCAAUUAAUCUUCAUGAAAUUUUGUCAGAAUGAUUACCUUGAUGGAAUCUAGGUUGAGUUCGAAAAUGGAUCAUCUGGAUUCAAAAACUAGGUCACUAGAUCAAAUCAAAGAAAAACCUUGUGUAUGCGAUAGAGGCUGUAUUUUUCAAUUGAUCUUCAUGAAUUUUGGUCAGAGUGAUUACCUUGAUGAAAUCUAGACCGAGUUCAAAAAUGGGUCAUCUGGGGUCAAAAACUAGGUCACUAGGUCAAAUCAAAGAAAAACCUUGUUUAUGCGAUAGAGGCUUUAUUUUUCAAUUAAUCUUCAUGAAUUUUGUUCAGAAUUAUUGCCUUGAUAAAAUCUAGGUCAACUUCGAAUAUGGGUUAUCUUGGGUCAAAAAGUAGGUCACUAGGUCAAAUCAAAGAAAAACAUUGUGUAUGCGAUGGAGGCUACAUUUUUCAAUUGAUCUUCCUGAAAUUAAGUCAGAACGAUUGCAUUGAUGAAAUCUACGUUGAGUUUGAUUAUGUGUGUGUGAUUCCGUUUAUUUAUCCUCGCCUCCGGGUAUUCCCAUAUGGGCGAGCAUUCGUCUAAUAUCAUUAUGUUCAUCUAAAGUUAUUUUCUUCUAAGGUUGUUAUCGUCUAAGGUUGUUAUCGUCUAAUGUUGUUGUCGUCUAAGGUUGUUAACUUCUAAAGUUGUUAUCGUCUAAAGUUGUAAUCAUCUAAUGUUGUUAAAUUCUCAAGUCAUCUCACGGUAGCCUUGAAGGUCCGACUUUUGAUGACGUCAUUAUGCUGACUUCAGUUCGGUCUUCUAACUUAUGAUGGUGUACUACGCCUUCUGGUGCUAAAUUUCGUCUCGCCGCCGCCCUCAUGAUGUUAAAACGUAAUGGCCGAUGAAAUGCCAUCUCGUUGAAGCUAUCUCCGUUGUCCCUGCAGCCUGCUCACCGUCGUUACAACCGGAACGCCAGUCUUCUGCUCUCCCGUAGGUCAAUCCGAGCAUAAUCGAACCAGCCGAUGAUGCUAUUCUGAAUACUGUUGGUUCUUCCACAUCCAUCGGUAGUUGAUAAAAACGUCGGAUGAAAAGUCGCACACCCCGUACGACUCAUCCUGCCAGAUGAACACGCCCGUGUACCAUAUAUAGUCAUGGACAUCCAGCUCGGGUAAAAACAAAGGUAAAAGCCGGUAGACGUCGAAGGCGGAGAACGAUGGUAACGAAUCCAAGUGCCCCGGCAACAGGAUGUGUAGUCGACAGUGGUAGCUCAACGAGAUGAUCUAACUUCGGUUGCUGUACUCUUUUUAGGGCCACUACCGCCGAUGUCAGUCAUGUGUCGCUAACUAGGCCGUAUGACAAAUAUACGUGACAAUAUACAUGUUGACCUAGUUAGCGACAUAUGUUCCCUCUCCACGACGUGAACGUCUCGGCGGUCCAGGAGAAGUAAAUGUCAUUUGGGAUUUAAAAGUAGGUCACUAGGUCAAAUCAAAGAAAAACCUUGUGUAUGCAAUAGAGGCUUUUUAUGCCCCCACUUUGGGUGGGGGCAUAUAGAUUUGCUCUUGUCCUUCCGUCCGUCCGUCCUUCCGAAAAUGUUGUGUCGCGCGUAGCUCUGAAAGUAUUUGACGUAGAGUCACAAAACUUUACAGGAAUGUUGGUCAGCAUGUGUAGUUGUGCACCUGGGAUUUUGCGUCCGGAUUCAUUCAGUCAUGUAGAAGUUAUGGCCCCUGACUUUGUAAAAAUUGGUCAUUUUAAUGUUGUGUCGUGCCUAGCUCCAAAAAUAUAUGACCUAGAGUCACAAAACUUUACAGGCAUGUUGGUCAGCAUGUGUAGUUGUGCGCCUGGGGUUUCGCGUCCGGAUUAAUCCAGACAUGUAGGAGUUAUGGCCCCUGACUUAGUAAAAAAUUGGUCAUUUUAAUGUUGUGUCGCGCAUAGCUCCAAAAGUAUUUCACCUAGAAUCACCAAAGUUUACAGGAAUGUUGGUCAGCAUGUGUAGUUGUGCACCUGGGGUUUCGCGUCCGGAUUCAUUCAGUCAUGUAGCAGUUAUGGCCCCUGACUUUGUAAAAAUUGGUCAUUUUAAUGUUGUGUCGUGCCUAGCUCCAAAAGUAUAUGACCUAGAGUCACAAAACUUUACAGGCAUGUUGGUCAGCAUGUGUAGUUGUGCACCUGGGGUUUCGCGUCCAGAUUCAUCCAGUCAUGUAGGAGUUAUGGCCCCCGACUUAGUAAAAAAUUGGUCAUUUUAAUAUUGUGUCGCGCAUAGCCCCAAAAGUAUUUGACCUAGAAUCACCAAAGUUUACAGGAAUGUUGGUCAGCAUGUGUAGUUGUGCACCUGGGGUUUCGCAUCCGGAUUCAUUCAGUAUUGUAGGAGUUCUGGCCCCUGACUAAUGUCAUGUAGUGGGGGCAUCUGUGUCCCAUGGACACAUUUCUAGUUUUCAAUUAAUCUUCAUGAAAUUUGGUCAGAAUUAUUGCCUUGAUAAAAUCUAGGUCAAGGUCGAAUAUGGGUCAUCUGGGUUCAAAAACUAGGUCACUAGGUCGAAUCAAGGAAAAACCUUGUAUAUGCAAUAGGGGCUGCAUUUUACACUGGAUUUUCAUAAAAUUUGGUCAGAAUGGUUUUCUUGAUAAAAUCUACGUCAAGUUUGAACAUGGGUAGUCUUGGGUUAAAAAUUAGGUCACUACGUCAAAUCAAAGAAAAACCUUGUUUAUGCAAUAGAGGCUGUAUUUUUCCAUUGAUCUUCAUGAAAUUUGGUCAGAAUGAUAACCUUGAUGAAAUCUAGAUAAAGUUCGAAUAUGGGUCAUCUGGGGUCAAAAACUAGAUCACUAGGUCAAAUCAAAGAAAAUACUUGUUUAUACUCCAGAUUUUUGCUCCAGUUUUAAUGAUAAUUGGUCAGACUAUUUUUUCCUUGAAAUCACUAGGUCAAACAUGUCUACACUGUUAUGGUGUGUUUCUCAGGUGAGCGACCUAGGGCCAUCUUGGCCCUCUUGUUGUAUUAUUAGUUUAUAGUUUCCUUAUUCUGUUUUAUUAUUUUGAUUUGUCAGUUGUGGCAUAUUAUUAAAGAUUUUAAAGG